rnacentral:rRNA from 1 species
AUUGAACGCUGGCGGCAGGCUUAACACAUGCAAGUCGAACGAGUGGCGGACGGGUGAGUAAUGUUUGGGAAUCUAGCUCAUGGAGGGGGAUAACUAUGGGAAACUGUAGCUAAUACCGCGUACCAUAGGAUGAGCCCAAGUGGGAUUAGGUAUUUGGUGAGGUAAAGGCUCACCAAGCCGACGAUCUCUAGCUGGUCUGAGAGGAUGACGCGGCACACUGGGACUGUGGCACGGCCCAGACUCCUACGGGAGGAAGCAGUGGGGAAUAUUGCGCAAUGGGCGCAGCCUGACGCAGCCAUGCCGCGUGAAUGAAGAAGGCCUUCAGGUUGUAAAGUUCUUUCGGUAGCGAGGCGUUAGCUACAGAAGAAGCGCCGGCUAACUCCGUGCCAGCAGCCGCGGUAAUAC